UUACACAUGUGCCAACUUACGAUGAUGUAA
rnacentral:piRNA from 1 species